GCGUGUAACAGACUUUAACGGACCACUUUUCCAACGACCGGCGCGACACAGCGUUCUAAAACGGGAUGUGGCACAAGCCUGUUGAUGUCAUCCAAGCGCGAGAAUCUCCAACAAAACGACUCUGAUUAUUUUACUAGCAGUGUUUAAAACAAAAAUCGCUAUGCGGGUUAAAACAGCCGCCGUCACGCGAUAGGACUGUCCCACUCUUUCCACCUGUUUGAAUCGGACCUGCGCGUGCAAUGCUGCCGACACCACGCUAGAGACCGUCCCAAAUUGACAUUUCUUGAUUAAAAUCUUCAGGAUUGACCAGCCACUGGCAGUUUUGUGACGGAAACGUCUUCCGUGGCUUACAAUGAAAUAAAAAGCAGCCUUAAAGAAGUGCUGCGUUUUCUUUGUAUGUCAGUCUUUUUUUUCAGGAAGUAGACGAUGCAGCGCGUGGACGCAGUGGUUACAAGGCGGUGCGAGUGCUCCGGGGCUGUGUCGAGGACCAUGCUGGGACUGCUGGUGAUGUCGGCUGCUGUUGCUAUGACAGCAGCUCAGCUCCAGCAGCUGAAGAAGCAGAACAGGCCGCCUGUAUCUGCCCCAUCCAGACUGCAUUGCCUCACUCCAGAAUCUUCUUUCAGUCCUAGAACCUGUUUUGAGUUCUAAAAGGUUUGCCUGGGUCUGGAACCAUUUCAGCAUUUCGGAAUCCUCCCUGAGCUCUGGAAUUCUGUAGAAAGAUUGGUGCCGGAACACCCUGCAGCCCGAAUUACAUCAGGAUCAGCUGGUGGGAUGAAAAGGAGGAGGGGGAAGACAAUGAUGAACCUUCAGCGAUCGUCUCCAUAACCCUGUCAUUUAGAACUGGAGGAGGGAGGGAGGCAGGCGAGAAGCAAUCUCUCCCCCUUCCAGGUCCCUCAAAGGGUCACAUGACUCAUCUGAGCCUUACAACGGCAAGCCUUGCUCUC